rnacentral:tRNA from 1 species
CUGGGGGUGGCUCAGGGGUAGAGUGCGCAUCUAGCAUGCGCGAGACUGUGGGUUCAAUCUUCAGCACCACAUA